ACAUUGGUGGGUCAGUGGUAGAAUUCUCGCCUGCCACGCGGGAGACCCGGGUCCGAUUCCCGGCCAAUGCA
rnacentral:tRNA from 1 species